GAUGAACGCUGGCGGCGUGCCUAAUACAUGCAAGUCGAGCGAAGCGGCGGAUGGGCGAGUAACGCGUUGGUAACCGGCCUUUAAGUCUGGGAUACCAUUUGGUAACAGAUGCUAACACCGGAUACUAAUGGAUGGACUGGUGAUGCAUUAGCUAGUUGGUAAGGUAACGGCUUACCAAGGCGAUGAUGCAUAGCCGAGUUGAGAGACUGAUCGGCCACAUUGGGACUGAGACACGGCCCAAACUCCUACGGGAGGCAGCAGUAGGGAAUCUUGCACAAUGGACGAAAGUCUGAUGGAGCAACGCCGCGUGAGUGAAGAAGGUUUUCGGAUCGUAAAGCUCUGUUGUUGGUGAAGCGGUAAUCAACCAAAAAGUCACGGCUAACUACGUGCCAGCAGCCGCGGUAAUUC
rnacentral:rRNA from 1 species